CUCACGACGUAAAGCCUCAGCGCCCCUUCUCCUUCCACGGUACUCUGACGGGUGCAUGGGGUCGGUCAGCUAGGUCUCUGGUGCGCUCGGAUGGCAGUGGGAAGCUCAUUGACAUCUUGGCCAAACACUUCAUAAUCGUUGCUCUCUGUCAGAAAAAAGUUUCUUGGAAACCUGAACAUGAAGAGAAGAUAAAAAAGAUAUUUUACACAAAAGCAUCUCAUAGGCUUUCUGAAAUGUUCAAGGAAGCUCGUAAAAUAAACAAGAAGCUUGAUUGGAUGUUUGAUACAGUUUGGCAAAGUUUGAUUACCAGCGGAUGGCCCCAAAAUUUAAAACAAAGAGUAUCCAAGCUCAAAAAAAUAGAGCAUUUGAGAAAGGUGGAAGUCUGCACACAGGUGGCUCCAUCACCCCUCACGAGCAUGCUAUCCAGAUGGUAAUUACAUUAAACAACUACUAUAUUUUAUUCAACAUAAUUUUAGAAAUAUGAUGAUUAACUAUUUAUACAAUUAUAGUCACAAGAGUUGGGUCGCCUUCCACAUAUUGAUGAGUUGUUCCACCAAACUCAUGUACGAAAGCUUACAGGUGAUUUUGUCGACCAAAGAUCUAAGCAAACAUAUGUAAAUUAUUUUUUUUUUGUAUUAUUGCUUUAUUCUUUUCAAUUUUAAUCAUCUUUGAUAAAUGUCAUUUUUAAACAUCUUUAUUUACGAAAUAUGAUCAAUUUGAGACUAUUUAAUCAAGCUAGGUCUGAGGUUGCAUCUUGUACAGAAGGUUUUGAAACGUCUUCUAUGGACCUAGUUGAGGAAGAAAGACUCCACAAUGAGAGUUGGAUUGUUGUUGUUGAUGGGAUUACAAACAAAAGAUGACUAAACGGGGUUGGAAAAGUCACUUCUACAUUGAGAUUUGGGGAUACCUUCACAAAUAUAUCUUCUAGUUGUGCUACUUAAGAGUCAAAGAAAAUUAUAAUUCAAGAAAAAUCAACAUUAUCUACAGAAGAAAUCCGUAGAUAAGCAUGAAAAUUCGUAGAUAAGUGUUAAUUAUCUACAGAUUAUCUAUAGAAAAAAAUCUGUAGGUAAUAAAGUCGUAGAUAACAGUACUUGCGAAAAAUUUUCCAUACCGAAAAUUUUCCGUAGGUAACCUUAUAUACGGACAUUCAUACGGAUUACCCACAAAAGUUGUUAUAUACGAAUAAGUUUUAAAAGACUUACCUACAGAAUUUAUCUACGGGUUAUCUACGAAAAUUUUUAUAAUCUAAUAGUCAUCUCCAUAAUGUCUAGUAGGUGGUAGUUGUUGGGCAUCGUGGUUGUCAUGAGAUUGUUGAUCUACCUGUUGUUGCAAAAUAUGUUGUGUAUCAGAAGGUAAGAGAGGUAGAACAACAAUGAACAAGGAUUGAAACUGGCAUUGCAAGCAUUCAUUUUGUUCCCUAGAUUGACGAGCCUCCUCCCUAGACUUAUAUAUGGACUUGCUCUUGCAAUUGAAUAAUUUUCUCUGACUCUUCAGAAGCACGACCAAAAGAUAUAUUUGUGAAGGUAUCCCCCAAUGUUAAUGGAGAAUUGACUUUUCCAACCCCGUAAAGUCGUCUUUUGUCUGUAAUCCCACCAGCAGCAACAAUCCAACCCUUAUUGUAGAGUCUUUCUUCCUUAACUGAGUCCAUAAGAGACGUUUCAAAACCUCCCGUACAAGAUGUAGCCUCAGACCUAGUUUGAUUAAAUAUAGUCUCAAAUUGAUCCUAUUUCAUAAAUAAAGAUGCUUAGAAGUGACAUUUAUCAAAGAUGAUUAAAAUUGAAAAGAAUAAAGCAAUAAUACAAAAAAAAAAUAACUCACAUAUGUUCGCUUAGAUCUUUGGUCGACAAAAUCACCUGUAAGC